ACUAGUCAUAUUAAGAGUCUUGACCCUGAGUCUCUGAAUAUUCCCAGAAUGAGCAUUGCAGAUUCCAGUGUCCAUUGUUACUAAUCUCAGCUAUGAUUAUCAGCCCUGGAAAAAAAGGUUGGUGUAAAUUAGGAGAAACUUCACUACAUUACGGAAUGAUCAGUGGUGUAAAAUUGCCAUAAGUAGGACAGUCGACUUUUAGAACUUUUAUCCAAAAUAAUUCAAACUCAUUGUAAUUUGAUCUCAAGAUCUGGAUUGCAGAGGUUCCUCCUGCAAUCUGCUACUCAUACUAUGUGAGGGACACAUUCACUUCACCUCCUACCCCUUUCUUGGUAAUGUCAACAAAAAGAAAAUGAGCAUUUUGGAAUGCAGGUGUAUCUCAAAGACACUUCGAAGAUCAAGACAAAGAAUCUGAGGACUUUAUUCCACUGAUGGGUCAAAU